UCAUCAUCAUCAUCACUAUUAUUGUUAUUUGCUUAGUUUUUUGAGUUCUUUAUGUACCCUAGAGAUUAGUGCUCUAUCUGAUAUGUGAGGGGUAAAAUAUUCCUCCUAAAAUGUAGGCUCUGUCUUCACCUCACAGAUUGUUUCCUUUGCUGAGAAUAAACUUUUUAGUUUGAUUCUAUCCCACUUAUUGAUUAUUUGUUUUAAUUCUUGUGCUAUCAGUGUCUUAUUAAAGAAAUUGGAGCCUAAUCCCACAUGAUGAAUAUUAGAGCCUGCAUUUUAUUCCAUUAGACACAGAGUAUCUGGAUUAAUUCCUAGGUUCUUGAUACACUUGCAGUCGAGUUUUGUGCAUGGUAAGAGAUAGUGGUUUGUUGAAGAGGCUAUCUUUUCUCCAGUGCAUGUUUUGACACCUUUGUCUAAUAUAUAAUAAUUAUAAUUUUGUGGGUAAGUCUCUGUGACCUCUAUUCUGUACCAUUCAUCUGCAGUGUGUUUUUUUUGCAAAUGCAAUGCUGUUUUUGUUACCAUUGCUCUGUAGUAUGGUUUAAGGUCUGGUAUAGUGAUGCCACCUGCUUCACUCUUUCUGCUAAGGAUUACUUUAGCUAUUCUUGGUCUCUUAUUUUUCCAGAUAAAUUUCAUGGUUGCUAUUUCUAUUUCUAUGAGGAAUGCCAUUAGGAUUUUGAUCAGAAUUGCAGUAAAUCUGUAUAGUGCUUUGGUAGCGUUGUCAUUUUGAUAAUAUUAAUUUUACGAAUUGAUGAGCAAAGUAGAUAUUUCCAUCUUCUAAGGUCUUUUUUGAUAUUUUUCUUUAGGUUUCUGUAUUUUUCCUUUAUAGACCCUUCACCUCUUUCAUUAAGUUGAUUCCCAAGUAUAUAUUUUUUUUUGAAGUUAUUGUAAAUGGGGUAGUUUUCUUCAUUUCUUUCUCAGAAGAGUUUUCACUGAUAUACAGAAAUGCCUUUGAUUUAUGGGUGUUGAUUUUAUAUCCUGCUACUUUGCUAAAUUUAUUUACUAGUUCUAGAAGUUUUCUGGUGGAGCUUUUUGAGUCUUCUAGGUAUAUAAUCAUAUCUGGCAUUUGCAGGUAAAUGGAUAGCAUUGGAGAAGAUAAUGCUAAGUGAUGCUAGCCAAUUCCAAAAAAAAAA
rnacentral:lncRNA from 1 species